GACGAACGCUGGCGGCGUGCCUAACACAUGCAAGUCGAACGGAAAGGCCCAGCUUUUGUGGGGUGCUCGAGUGGCGAACGGGUGAGUCACACGUGAGUAACCUGCCACUGACUUUGGGAUAACCUUAGGCAACUGGGGCUAAUACCGGCUAGGAGCUACUGCUGCUUGGUGGGGGUUGGACAGUUUCGGCGGUUGGGGAUCGACUCGCGGUUUAUCAGUUUGUUGGGGGGGGAGUGGCUUACCAAGGCUUUGACGGGUAGCCGACCUGGGAGGGUGAUCAGCCACAAUACUACUAAGGGAGGGCGCAGUCUCCAACGGGAGACAGCGGUGGAAAAUAUUACACAAUGAGGGGGAGCCUGAGACGAAGGCGCCGCGAGCGGAAAGACGGCCUUCGGGUGAUGAACCGCAUUCGCCUUAGACGAAGCGUGAGUGACGGUAAUGGGUAAAGAAGCACCGGCUAACUACGUG
rnacentral:rRNA from 1 species